AGAGUUUGAUCCUGGCUCAGAACGAACGCUGGCGGCGUGCUUAACACAUGCAAGUCGUACGAGAAACCGGAACUUCGGUUCUGGGAGUAAAGUGGCGCACGGGUGAGUAACGCGUAGGUAAUCUACCCUUGGGUUUGGAAUAACCCGCCGAAAGGCGGACUAAUACCGGAUAAAAUCUUUCGGAGGGAUCUGAAAGAUCAAAGGUGGCCUCUCCAUGGAUGCUACUGCCUGAGGAUGAGCCUGCGUCCCAUUAGCUUGUUGGUAGGGUAAUGGCCUACCAAGGCUACGGUGGGUAGCUGGUCUGAGAGGAUGAUCAGUCACACUGGAACUGGAACACGGUCCAGACUCCUACGGGAGGCAGCAGUGAGGAAUAUUGCGCAAUGGGGGAAACCCUGACGCAGCGACGCCGCGUGGGUGAAGAAGGCCUUCGGGUCGUAAAGCCCUGUCUAGAGGGAAGAAAUUCUCAAUGGAAUAAUACCCAUUGAGAUUGACGGUACCUCUGGAGGAAGCACCGGCUAACUCCGUGCCAGCAGCCGCGGUAAUACGGAGGGUGCGAGCGUUGUUCGGAAUUACUGGGCGUAAAGCGGGUGUAGGCGGUUUGUUAAGUCAGAUGUGAAAGCCCACGGCUCAACCGUGGAAG
rnacentral:rRNA from 1 species